GACCAUCUAGUUCAGUGGUCGAGCGCUCGCUUUAAAGCGUGAGGUCCGUGGUUCGAUACCACCCCCGAGGACA